GACGAACGCUGGCGGCGUGCUUAACACAUGCAAGUCGAACGGUGAAGCGCCUUCCUUUUUGGUGGGUGUGGAUGAGUGGCGAACGGGUGAGUAACACGUGAGUAACCUGCCCCCUUCUUCUGGAUAACCGCAUGAAAGUGUGGCUAAUACGGGAUAUUCUGGGUCUGUCGCAUGAUGGGUCUGGGAAAGAUAUUGUUUCGGUGGGGGAUGGGCUCGCGGCCUAUCAGCUUGUUGGUGGGGUGAUGGCCUACCAAGGCGGGGACGGGGAGCCGGCCUGAGAGGGUGGACGGUCACACUGGGACUGAGACACGGCCCAGACUCCUACGGGAGGCAGCAGUGGGGAAUAUUGCACAAUGGGCGCAAGCCUGAUGCAGCGACGCCGCGUGAGGGAUGGAGGCCUUCGGGUUGUGAACCUCUUUCGCCAGUGAAGCAGGCCUGCCUCGUUUGUGGGUGGGUUGACGGUAGCUGGAGAAGAAGCGCCGGCUAACUACGUG
rnacentral:rRNA from 1 species